UGGGCCGCGCAUGCGCAGAACCGCUAAGUAGGACACAUCUAUGGGAAGCACAACUCGAUCAAACACCGGAGCCGAAACACCUGAGCCGCCGGACCCGGUUCUCCUUAUCCUCCUCAUCCUGCAGGGAGAACCGAGCAGAACCGGGGCAAAGACAAGCGUUCAGUCAUGGGAACCUGACCGCUGGGCUGUGCUACCGGUCAUUAGCGCGGACUGCGGGCUGUUUCAGCGCAGGUUUGAUGAGCUUUAGCCGAGCUGCAGUUAAGCGUUAGGUGGAGGCCACAGAAGGGGUCAGUCAAGCUCAUGAACUUCAUUGUCCUGCAAGGCGGAGGGAGGGCGUCCCUGCUCAGACAUACGCUUGGACAUGAUCUCCCACUGAGGGGUCAACACUUUGGGUUUGGAUCCUGAAAGAAGAUGGGAAAACAGACAGGGUGUUGUUACAGUGUGAUUGUGCAAGCUAAAUCCAGAACCUCUAGUCUAGAAGAGCUGUGUUCUAAAGUUUACAUACAUCACAAACAUAUUUCUUUGAAAUGGCCCCUUUGCUGUGGCAGAAUAAGUGAACAAUAUAAACAAAUCAAGUCAGAAUAUUAUGACUUCACCAUGUAUCUUGUUUCUGCCCUAACUGUCCAUCUAAUGACUCAACCCUGUAUCCUGUUUCUGCACUCAUUGCCCAUCUUUUCAGCUUCACUGAGCACGUAGGAGCACUUUGUAGUUUUUUUAAUUACAGACACUUGUCCUCCUGUUUCUCUGCAUACUUUUUUUUUAUCAAUCUAUUUUCUUUUUCACACGCUGUUGUUCUGUAGUCUAUAGACUAGGGAUGCACUGAUGUUGGGAAGUGGCCGAUGCCGAUAUCCGAUACUACACAUGUACAUAUCUGCCGAUGCCAAUGCCGAUAUAGACAUUUAUAACUUACAAAGAAAAUAGACACCCCAGUAUAACUUUAUAACUUAUAAACUAACUAAUAAAAAAUAUGGCAGCCAG